rnacentral:lncRNA from 1 species
GAUGGGUGGGAGAUGGUGGUUUGUGGGAUGGCUUCUGGGUAGGAGCUGGUGGCUUCUGUCCCUUUGGUGGUUUGCCUAAUGAGCUUGGUGGCUUGUGCUCCGGGAGUUGUUUCUCUCCCUCGAGUAGGUUUCGAGUCUUGUCAGAUGGCUUGUGUUCUGGUGGUGGCUUCUCUCCCUGGGGUGGUUUGCCGAAUGGGCUUGGUGGCUUGUGUUCGGGGAGUGGCUUCUCUCCCUGGAGAAGGUUACGAGUUUUGUCAUAUGGCUUUUGUUCUGGUGGUGGCUUCUCUCCCUGGGGUGGUUUGCCGAAUGGGCUUGGUGGCUUGUGUUCGGGGAGUGGCUUCUCUCCCUGGAGAAGGUUACGAGUUUUGUCAGAUGGCUUGUGUUCUGGUGGUGGCUUCUCUCCCUGGGGUGGUUUGCCGAAUGGGCUUGGUGGCUUGUGUUCGGGGAGUGGCUUCUCUCCCUGGAGAAGGUUACGAGUUUUGUCAGAUGGCUUUUGUUCUGGUGGCGGCUUCUCUCCCUGGGGUGGUUUGCCAAAUGGGCUUGGUGGCUUGUGUUCGGGAACUGGCUUCUCUCCCUUGGGAGGUUCAGUUGGUGGCUGCUGUUCCGUAGGUGGUUUCUUCACCGGCGGCUUGUGCUCCGGAAGCGGCUUCUCUACCUGGAGAAGCUUACGAGUUUUGUCCGAUGGCUUGUGUUGUGGUGGUGGCUUCUCUCCCUGGGGUGGUUUGCCAAAUGGAGUUGGUGGCUUGUGUUCGGGGAGUGGCUUCUCUCCAUUGGGAGGUUUAGUUGGUGAUUGGUGUUCCGUAGGUGGUUUCUGAAGUGGGGGAUGCUUGGGGUAGUCAGCAAGAGACGAGGUAGUGAGAACCACCAGUCCCAGCAGCAACACUAGCAAGCAUGUGGAAGACAUCUUUGAGUUCAGGCUGAGAUCUGUGCAAGGAUAACAGAAUUAGGUGGCCUUUUAUAGAGGCCUGGACCCAACACCCAUAUGACACGUGUCAUGCACUCAUGGUGACACAUAAUUCUAUGGGACCAUUUGGGUCCUACAGAAGUUGCAAAGUUGGACUACUGAGGUGUGAUCACAACUUUUGUCCUUAUUGCUUUCUCUGCGGCCAUUGCACGAUUUCCUUUAGCAUCAUUUUCUUGGCUAAAUAAGCGUAUUAUAUUUGUGGCAGACCGUCCACGUGUCAUAAACAGAUAUAUUAUAAUAAUGUAGUAUGCUUUUCUCCAAUGGAACAUGACACUCUUCUAAGUCUUGUUUUAAAUAUUGUGCAGGAUUACUUUAUACGUUGCAGUUCCAAGUCAAAAUUGGUGGGCAAACGUUGGCCUUUUUUCAUUUCACCUAAGAUUAAUGCUCACCUGGGAUAGGCACUACAUGACUUAUCUGCUCUUUUACUGUAAAGUUGCUUUGUGUAUGAGAUACACCUCCCCUGCACACCCUCAACAUUCGUUGCUCUGUUUUCCUUGUGUCCAGACGAGGAUAUUAAUUGGAGGCUGACAAAACGACUGCUAGCCCAGGAUUUACAAGGUCCUGGUUUGAGGCUUCGGUGAAAGUAUUUUUGAAAAGACACACAUAGAGAUAGUGCGUUUGGUGCAAUGCAGCACUGUGAGCCAUUCUGACGCGUUCUUAAUUUCAAAACUAAUGAAUGCUUCAAAAUUUUAAGAAGUGACAUUUCCAAAUAUUUGAGUUCGUUUAAUUGAACAUUGGAUAACUAGUGAUCAUAGAUUAUUAUCUGUGCUUGGCACUAUAAGAGGGUAUAUGCUUCUUUUUCUGGCCCCUCCUUCAAGGGAGGAGGGACAAUGUGAUCUGUAACGUUAGAAGCUAUUCCAUGUCAUCUUUGGGCUCAGUUCAAAACUAAAAGAUAAUGGGGGGGGGGGGGGGGGGCAUAUCAUUUUAUAUUUCUUCUAGAAGGUUUGUUCUGGAAAUAUUUCACAGGAGCAUAUCUUUUUCUUCUAUUACGUCAUCCGCAGCCUCCAAUAGGUCGGUUAACAAGCCACCGAGUUGAAAAGUUGGAAAAAUGGGAACACAGCCCGCCUCUUGUAUUCAGUAGUUAAAUAAAAGGUCACUAGAAGUGAGAUCCCUUUUGGCGUCUUGAUUUUCAAUCCAGCACCUCUGUGACCUGACAAACCAAAAAAACUAAAAAAUAAAAAACAGUACGUGGGUUGGUGUUAAGCAUCAAGACAUGUUAAUGAAAGAAGGUAGAGAAUAGGAUAUUGAAAUCCCAAUCCUGAUAACAUGAUUUUCUUUGCUAACAACCAUAUUAUAUUUUAUCAAGAAAGAGUAAUGCAUGUGGCGUCCAUCAAGACCCAUUAGAGUUCCGCUAAAGCUAUAGUUCUGUCAACGUUAUCAUUUACGUUUCCUCUAGAUAAUGGCAUUUUCCUCUAAAGCUCUUGCACCAUUAGGCUUCAAGUCAAAAUUUCACAUGUGAACUUUGGAAAUUUUCUCCAUUUGCCCCUAAGGAUACAGUUAGAAUUGACUUAAAAUCCUGAUUGAUAUGUACUAUUAACCAAAGAAUAUUGUAUAUAAUAAUUGAAAUAUUGUUGAUUCAUCGUGGAAAUACAUUUUGUAAGGAAAGUUGUUGAGAAUUUAGUAUGCUAUAUGGAGAAAAAAGUCAUGACUUAAGGUUGUGUAUGUAUAUUCUAUAUCAAAUAUUAGGUAGGAAUGUGGGAAAGAGCAGAGUGUAAUGAUAAGAAACAAAGAAAUAUAAGAUAUUCUUGAAAGUGGAAAAUAUAAAAUGGCUAACGAGUCAAAUUUAUGAUGCGUAAGGGGGAUCAUGUCACAUAAGAAAACCAUGGCAUACUAAAGACGUACGUGUGGUAUGGAGUAAUAAUUUUGUUAAAAUAAGUUUCUUGUUGGAGUACAUUAGGUGACUAUUCAUAACGUAUCAAAUUAAAGAGUCAAGUGCAUCAAUGAAGGCAUAUGUAGAAAAUUUGUUUGUGACAUGUACCAUAAAGAUAAGAUUGACUUGAUAGAAUUUAGUCUAAGUAGGAGUUGUUAAAGGUGUCUUAAAUUUCUAAUUGAUGUAUAUUUUUUUCUAAAAAAAUAUUAUAUAGAUAUUUUAAUAAAUGAUUAAUUCUUUGUAAAAAUACUUACAUAAUAAAAAACAUCAUUAAAAAUAUCUUUAUAAAUAUUUUAAGUUACAAGAAGGAAAAAAACCACUGUGAGAUAAUGAUGAACAUGCAACACUGUACCAAGUAAAUAAAAAUGUGAUAAAAAAAAAAGAGAAACACUCGAUAAAGGAAGGCUCGUAUAUAAAGAGUAAUAUUUUUAAUCAUAUGAUAGAAUGAUUUUCUCUCAUUCAUGAAUAUAGGCAAGAUUGGGGAACCAUUAUAAAAUUUUGUACACCUCGUGUAAAUUGAUGUUUGUCUUCAUAUUUUACACCAACAAAUGACAUUGAAGUUGUCAUUGAUAAAAGGGAAAAGGCAUGCCUCCACACCAUGUGCUUGAUUCGAAUGGUUCAAGUUUGAAGAAUUUUCUCCGGAAGAUCUAAAACAUUUUCGCCUUUAAAUUUCAUUUGAUUAUUAAUAUCCGAAAAAAUAGUUAAAUACUCUUUCUAUUUUUGAGUUGUUGAAUUUUUUGAAAGUUUUUAUAUUUGUUAUCAAGAAUUUCUAUUUUAUUAAGGGUGAAUAUUUAUAAAUAAGAUAUUAUAUAAUAUUUGGAUAAGAGAGAAUGGUGGAAUAUAAUAAAGUUUUAAUCCUUCCCAAUUUUGAACCUUUUUUUUUUUUUUUGAUAUAAUCGCCUUUCUCUUGCAAUCCUAUUAUCAGGUACCUUAUAUUUGCUGAUGCUAUCUGGAACUAAAUUCCAAUCAGGCAUUGUCCAAUUACUAAUAGGACAGAUCAUAUCUCUCUGUUUCUAAACUAACAUGUAUCGUAAUGUGACCUCAUAAGGAAGGCUAGGAAGAUGGAGGAUUUUGUGGGAAGCGACCAGAAUCAGAUGGAAGAGAGAUAGCCCUGUUGACCUAAUGGCUGUAAUAGGAGAAGCGUGUGGUUUUAUGGGACUUAACUGAUACUAAACCUGUAUGAUGCUUGGAGUGGUGUUUCUUUCAUUUUGUUAAGAAAAUAUGGCAGCAUACAUGCUUUCAACUGAGUGCAUCAGAGCAUCCAUAACAGAUGGUCUGCAACCCUAGGUGCAUGCCACUUUCUGACUGAUAAUGAAAUUGUCAGGUACCUGGCCUUGACUAAGCUCAACAGCAUCACAUAAAGAGAAGCUUUCAUACUUAGAUUACUGUUUAAAGUUUUUGCUUAUUUGAUUUCUUAAUGCCAUUAUGACAUUAUUGAUUCAAUUCUGCUUCCGAUUUUCGAAGUUCUGGGCAUCUACUGAUUGCAUCAUUAUAUGAGAAGUUGCAUGAGUUUAUGUAUCCUGUUAUUGUUCCUUUGCGAUUUCACUGCUCACGGGACUAACCUCUCCAUUCAGUCGAAAUGAAUUGUAAUUUCUUUACUGGUAGCAGUAGUACUUUUCAUAGCAAAGAUAAUAGAAAAUAUGAAAUAUAAAUAGAAGGAAAUCUGGAUUGUAGAUAGCACCAUAAGUAACACUCAAUAUUCACUACAUAAUAAAUAGACAGUGUUACAUAGGUAGAGAAACCUACAAUGAGUACUCAUCACCAUUCUCAAACAGAAACAUAGCAGCGACUUAUACAUAGAACCUAUAGGCUCGCAGGGAAAGAGUAACAUGAUAAGUUCACAGCGGGUAGCAGCUCUUAUUUUACGUAUUACUCAAAAUCUCAAACUAACCAAAGUCACUCAGUUGGGAUGGGUAGGAGAUGGUGGUUUGUGGGGUGGCUUCUGGGUAGGAGCUGGUGGCUUCUUUGUUGGAGUUGAAGGAGGCAUAUUCUUCUGAGGUGGCUUGUAUGACUCUUCGGCACUCUCUGCAGGAGGGUGCCCAGGGUUGUGACCAGAAGGAGGUGGCUUCUGUCCCUUUGGUGGUUUGCCUAAUGGGCUUGGUGGCUUGUGCUCCGGGAGUUGUUUCUCUCCCUCGAGUAGGUUUCGAGUUUUGUCAGAUGGCUUGUGUUCUGGUGGUGGCUUCUCUCCCUGGGGUGGUUUGCCGAAUGGGCUUGGUGGCUUGUGUUCGGGGAGUGGCUUCUCUCCCUGGAGAAGGUUACGAGUUUUGUCAGAUGGCUUUUGUUCUGGUGGCGGCUUCUCUCCCUGGGGUGGUUUGCCAAAUGGGCUUGGUGGCUUGUGUUCGGGAACUGGCUUCUCUCCCUUGGGAGGUUCAUUUGGUGGCUGGUGUUCCGUAGGUGGUUCCUUCACCGGCGGCUUGUGCUCCGGAAGCGGCUUCUCUACCUGGAGAAGCUUACGAGUUUUGUCAGAUGGCUUGUGUUGUGGUGGUGGCUUCUCUCCCGGGGGUGGUUUGCCAAAUGGACUUGGUGGCUUGUGUUCGGGGAGUGGCUUCUCUCCAUGGGGAGGUUUAGUUGGUGGUUGGUGUUGCGUAGGUGGUUUCUGAAGUGGGGGAUGCUUGGGGUAGUCAGCAAUAGACGAGGUAGUGAGAACCACCAGUCCCAACAGCAACACUAGCAAGGAUGUUGAAGACAUCUUUGAGUUCAGGCUGAGAUCUGUGCAAGGAUAAAAGAUUUAGGUGGCCUUUUAUAGAGGGCUGGACCCAACACCCAUAUGACACGUGUCAUGCACUCAUGGUGACACAUAAUUCUAUGGGACCAUUUGGGUCCUACAGAAGUUGCAAAGUUGGACUAUUGAGGUGUGAUCACAACUUUUGUCCUACUUGCUUUCUCUGCGGCCAUUGCACGAUUUCCUUUAGCAUCAUUUUCUUGUCUAAAUAAGCGUAUUAUAUUUGUGGCAGACCGUCCACGUGUCAUAAACAGAUAUAUUAUAAUAAUGUAGUAUGCUUUUCUUCAACGGAACUUGACACUCUUCUAAGUCUUGUUUUAAAUACUGUGCAGGAUUACGUCAUAAGUUGCUUGUUCCAAGUCAAAAUUGGUGGGCAAACGUUGGCCUUUUUUCAUUUUCCCUAAUAUUAAUGCUCACCUGGGAUAGGCACUACAUGAUUUAUCUGCUCUUUUACUGUGAAGUUGCUUUGUGCAUGAGUUACACCUCCCCUGCACACCCUCAACAUUUGUUGCUCUGUUUUUCUUGUGUCCAGACGAGGAUAUUAAUUGGAGGCUGACAAAACGACUGCUAGCCAAGGAUUUACAAGGUCCUGGUUUGAGGCUUUCACGAAAGUAUUUUUGAAAAGAUACACAUAGAGAUUGCGCGUUCGGUGCAAUGCAACAAUGUGAGCCAUUCUGAAGUCUUAAAUUUCAGAUUAAUGAAUGCUACAAAAUUCUAAGAAGGGCCGUUUCCAAAUAUUUGAGUUCAUUCAUCCGAACAUCGGGUAUAUGCUUCUUUCUCUAGCCCCUCCUUGAAGGGAGGAGGGACAAUGUGAUCUGUAUCGUUAGAAGCUAUUCCAUGUCGUCAUCUUUGGGCUCAGUUCAAUACUAAAAGAUAUGGGCGGGGCCCUUAUCAUUUUAUAUUUCUUCUAGAAGGUUUAUUCUGGAAAUCUUUCACAGAAACAUAUCUUUUUCUUCUCUACGUGAUCCGUGGUUUGAAAGUUGGAAAAAUGGGUCCGUUAACAAGCCACCGAGUUGAAAAGUUGGAAAAAUGGCAACACCGCCAACCUCUUGUAUUCGAUAGUUAAAUAAAAGGUCACUGGAAGUGAGAUCCCUUUUGGCCUCUUGAUUUUCAUUCCAGCAUCUCUAUGGCCUGAUAAAUUAAAAAACUAAAAAAAAAGACAGUACGUGGGUUGGUGUUAAGCAUCAAGAGUCAAGACAUGAUAAUGGAGAGAAAGGAUAUUCAAAUUCCAGUUCUGACAACAUGAUUUUCUUUGCUGAACUACCAUAUUAUAUUUGAUCAAGAAAGAGUAGUGCAUGUGGCCAGGAUCAAGACAUACAUUAAUUUCCACAUGAUGAAGACAGUUUCUGAGAGUUUCUUCUAAAGCUCUUGCGCGAGUAGGCUUCAAGUCAAAAUCUCCCAUGUAAACACUGGUUUUUCUUUCAUUGCCACUAAGGAUGCAGUUAAUAUUGACUUAAGAUCCUACGUGAUAUAUUUUUUUAAAAGAGCUAUAUUGUAGAUAAUAUUUGAAAUAAUGUUGAUUCGUUGUGGAAAUAUAUUUGUAAGGAAAGUUGUUGACAAUUUAAUAUAGUAUAAGAAGAAAAAAGUUAUCAACUAGCUAGAGAUGAGUAUGUAAAGUGAGGCUCACGAUUCAACGCGUAAAUAUAAGAUAUUUUAAGGCUCAAUAGUUAUGAUAUCUAUUUUAUUUUUUGUAUCUCAUAUAUUCAAAGAUAUAGUAAAAUGAUUUUACAUAUAUAUAUAUAUAUAUAUAUGAACAUAACUAUUUGUGCCAAUUGAUUUUUAUCUUUAUUUUGUAUAUUAGUAAUUAUAUUAAAGUUUUUACUAAUAUAAUAACUAAUAUAAAAGCUUUUUCUAAAAGAGUCAACAGAGCAAAACACUUAUUAUAAAAAAUAAUUUUGAUUGAAGGUGGAGUCAAUUAUUCUUUAUUUAACAUGUAAUGCAUACGGCGUGUACUUCAUAACUAAAGUAUAUAAGUGUAACAUCUCUUAUAUAUUCUCAUUCAAUCUCGAAAGUGGAAAUUUUAAAAAGAUUAAACGGUUCAAAUUUGUCGUGCAUAAAGGGGAUCAUGUCACAUAAGCAAACCAUGGCAUACCAAAGACAUAGGUAUGGACUAAGAAUUUUUUUCAAAUAAGUUUCUUAUUAGGGUACAUUAAUAGGUGACUUUUUAUGACAUAUCAAAGGAGUCAAGUGCACCAAUAAAAACAUAUAUAGAAAAUUCAUGCAUGACAUGUAUCACUAAGAGAAGAUUGACUUGAUAGAGUUUAAUCCAAAUAGGAGAUUGUUAAAAGGUGUCUCAAAUUCUUGAUUGAUAUAUAUUUUUUUUAUUAAAAAGGUUAUUAUAUAGAUAUUUCAAUAGACUAUUAAUUCUUUGUAAAAAUAGUUAUAUAAUGAGGAUGGUGAUUAAAAAUAUCUCUAUCAAUAUUUUGGAUUAUAAAAAGAAAAAAAAUGAGAUAAUGAUAAACAUAUAAAACUUGUACAAGUAGAUAAAGAUGUGAUGAAAGACACUUGAUGAAUGAAGGCUUUGUAUUUCAAGAUAUAAAUAUAUGGAGCAAAACUCUUAAUUAUAUGAUCAAAUGAUUCUCUCAUAUUCAUGAAUAUAAGCAGGAUUGGGGAACCAUGAUAGAAUCUUAUAUGCCUCUCCAUGUAGAGUGAUCGAUGUUUAUCUUCAUAUUUUACACCAGUGAAUGACAUUGAAACUCUUAUUGAUAAAAGGGAAAAGGCAUGGCCUCCACCCCAAGAAAAACAAGUAACCUCGGUUUAAAUCACUAGUCUACACCCCGAAGAGAGAACUAGCCAAACCUACUAAAAGAGAAACUUAACAAUUUAGAAAGAAACCGUCCAUGAUAAAGGGCCCCUAAAGGUCCAAUUCAGUGAGGUCGUGAACAAAAACACUUUCAUGUCAAAACAGAGAUAGGUACCACCAAAAUGUAAAGGGAAAGAUGUAAACCACGUCGAACUUUGGUAAUCAAUGGUAAAGAUAGCAUGAUAGCUAAAAGCACUAAAGCUGUGCUUGGUAUGCAAAAAUGAAAAGUGGAAAUCAGCGUCUUAUUCUUUUUCACCUUUAUUCACAUAUUAGGAUAACUAAUAUCUAAUGUUUUUUAUGUCUCAAAUUCUAUUCCAUGUUAUGGUAAACUUUCAUCUUGUUUAGAUCACUUUUGUCUGGUUUGGGCUCAAGACGAUAAGCCUAUAGAGACUUCAUAUUGGGUUGAAUCGAUGCCCUUGAUCUGAUCUGUUCGUUAGAAAAAUCUGAAUUAUUAUAAGCAUUUAGAUAAAAAAUAAAUAAAUGUGAAACACAAACUACUCCCUGCACAACCUUGACCCUAGUUACUCAGUUUCACUGCUCACAGGACUAACCUCUCCAUUCAGUCGAAAUGAAUUGUAACAAGAAGAUUUUUGACAGGAGGACGGUAGUUUAAAAUAAUAAUUUCUAAAGUACUUUUGUGAAAAAAAAUAAUUCCAAACGUGGAUUUUAUCAAGUAAAAAGAAAAAAAAAAGUUAUUUUCUUUUAAAAUCUGUUCUUCUAAAGAUGAUAUAUAUACCAAAAAAAAAAAUUGUUUUCUGAAGGUAAAAUUUUUAAAAUUCAUUUUUAAAAAAAUUUACACACUAAAAUUAUCUUUUCAAGAGAAGAUUUUUUUAAUUUUAAAUAAUUAUUAAUUUAUAAUUAAUUUGUUAUUAAUUAUUUAUUAAUUUUUUUAUUUGAAAAAUGCAUUUAUAAAAAACAAAUUUGUUAUUAAUUUAUUAAAUAAUUUUUACAAAAUAAAUAAUUUUUUUUUAUUUUAAUUUUAAAAUUAAUUUUAUUAUAUAAAUUUUAAAAUUAAAAAUAUUAAUAUUUAAUUUAAAAUUUAACUAUAAAAGGAAUAAAAUAUAGAAAAAUAAAUUAAUUUAUUAUUCAAUAAAUUAAUUUUCAAUAAAAUUUUCAGCAUUAAGAGAUAAAUUUUUAAGUAUUAAUCAAUUUAAAAAGAAAUAAUGAUCAUUUGUAUAUUAAGAUAUUUUAUUUAGUAAUUAUGAAUGAUAAACAACUAAAGUAAUUUGAAAAAAUAAUAAAAUAUUUAAAAAAUAAUAAUUUAAUACACGUAAAAUUAGAAAUGAUUAACUAUUUUUUAUUAAGAAAAAAUUGAGGAAAUAUUUUGUUAUUUAAAAUUUUUUAUUUGUUUUCAAUUUUUAAUGUUAUAGGUUUCAAGAAAAUUGAUCAAAUAAAAAUUAAGAAGUCAUUUUUUCAAAAACUAUAUAUCUAAAUAAAAGCCUUGAAAUUCAAAUACACAAUAUCAUAAAUAUAAACACCAAGUCAAUCCUUAAUUAUCAAAUGUUUUUAAUAUUAAAGAAUCAAAAUCACCUACUAUCAUGAUAAUAAGAAAACCAAUAAUAUUGUUCAUAUAAAUACUAAAAAGCUAACAAAUAUCCCAAACAAUUAAUAAAGUAUCAAACAUGAUAAAAAGUCAAUUAUUAUCAUGAAUGCAAAAAAUCAAUAAUUUUGUUUAUAUGAACCAUCAACAAAGAAAAAAAAAAUCAAUAUCUAAAUAUUAAACAUAAUUUAUAUUUUUAUAAAUAUUAUUGUUGAUAAAUAUCUUAACAAUUAUAAUUUUAGUAAAUAAAAUUAAUUAAUUUUAGUUUAAGAAUUAUUUUUUUAUACUUUCGUAUUCUUAUCAAAAAUCCCCAUUUUGCAUGUCUCCUUUGGCAUGACUUUCUUACCUAAACAAGCAUAUAUAUAUAUAUAUAUAUAUAAAAUAUUUGGUUAAGAAAGAGUACUAAAGUUUAUAUGGCACACAUCAAGAUAGAAACAGAAGUGGAAGAUAAUCCAAAUGUAUGAACAGAUAUAUUAUAUCCAUGUAGUGGUAGUGACUUCAUUAUUUACUUUUAUCUAAUGGAGCAUGACACACUUCUUCUGAAUAUUUUGCACGAUUAUGUUAUGUGUCAGCUUGUUCUAAGUCAAAACUAGUGAUAAAAAUCGGUUUUUUUUGCAUUUCCUUCAUGAAGAUGGCACCUGGAUGGGGCACUACAUGAGUGGCAUAGCACGAAGUGAUUUAUCUGCUCCCUUUACUAUAAAGUGCUUUGUGUAUAAGUUACACCUCCCCUGCACUGCCUCAACAUUUGUUGUUCUGUCUUCCGUCUGUCCAAACGAGGACAAACGUAUGUUGUAGGUUGACAAAACCACAGCUAGCCUAGGAUUUGCAAGGAUCUAGUUUGAUUCGUAUGCAAAAGGAUUGGUGAAAAGAUUCACAAAGAUAAUGCUUUUUGCAAUGCAAUCUUGUUCUAAUUCAACAGUGUGGACCAUUUUCAUGUAAUGCUUCAACUAGAUGUCAGUUUCAUGAAUUUUUGUUCAUCUAAUUGAUCACUGGAUAGGCCAUAACCCGAAGAAAUUCAAAAUUCCCUUCAGUACUGUAGCUAAGGAAAGAUCCCUAUCUACCACUGGGAUUUUAAGAGGGUAAAAAUGUAGGUGGGUGCCUAUAUCAUUUGCACUUCACUAUAGGCCUCUUUGGGAAGAUUUCUUCUGAAGACAUUUCAAAGAAACAUAUUUUUCUCUUCUCUCCGUAAACGGCAGCUGCAAGUCAGUCCAUUCACAGGCCACCGAGUUGAAAAGGCUGGAAAAUUGGCCAAAGCACCCGCCUCCUGGAUUCCAUGGGUAAGGAAAAGGUCACUGGAGGUGUGAUCCCUGUUGGCCUCUUGAUUUCCAUUCCGCCAUCUAUAUGACCUGAUAACCCAAAAACACAGAAGGAAAACGUCACCUGGGUUCAUAGUAAGCAUCAAGUCAUGAUAGAGACCAGACAACAUGACCAACAAAGAGUAGCGAAUGGGGCCAACAUCAAGCCCCAUUACGGUUAGAAGAUGGAAGAAGUAGAAGACAAUCCAAUUCUGAUAGAUUCGGGCAAAUGUAGUGCUGUUCAAACUUAAUCAUUUACUAUUUCUUCAUGAAUCACGGCAUUUUUCUUCUGAAAAUUUUCCAAGAUUAGGCCUCUGAAGAAAAAUUUCAUAUGUAAAUUGGUAUAUUAAGGAAAAGGCGUUACAAAGGUGAAAAAAAACCAAUCAAAUCUUAUAUAUGACAUCUCAAAAAUAUGAACUUGCUAUAAAUAUUUAAAAUCAAAAUCUUGCACAUCACCUCGUAGUACGAACUUGCUAUAAAACUUGAAAAUCAAGAAGAAAGGGGCAGUAUUGGACGAGACUACUUAGCACAUAUUAUUAUGAUGUUUUUUCAUUUUCUUAAUGUUGUUUUUAUGUCUUAAAUUCUAUUAUUCUAUGUUACGGUAAACAUUCAUCUUGUUUGUGUGGAAUAGGAUCACUUUUCUCUGGGUUGAGUCGAUGCCCUUAGUUAAUUUGUUCAUUUGAAUAAACUAAAUUAUUAUAAGUAUUUAGAUAAGAAAAACGUGAUACAUAAAUUACGCCUCUCGGCACAACUUCAACACUGGUUACUCUGUUUCAGUUUCCUCACACAAGAUUAUUGGUUCUAGGGUUUAUUUGGUUUUGGUUUGAUUCUAAUUGCUAAACUUUCUCAAGGAAGAUGUUAUAUAGGGAGUGAGAAACCUUCACUCUUGGCUACCUCCAAGAGAAGAGCAAGUGGUCUGAAUCAAAGAUAUACUGCUCACUUUUUCUUCUUCUAAGGACAGCUAUGACCUUGCUUUAAGGUUCGAAUAGCCUAAUGCAACCUCCCAUUUCUCAAGUCAGCUGAUGAUGUAAGUCACCUUGGCUUUCCACAUUCAUACGGUGAGGACGUUUGUGGGUGUAAUUCUCUUAACAGUUUUCAUUUUAUAUGGAAAAAUUCAUAAUUAAGGGUAAUUACUGAUUCCAUUUGACAGUGACCAAGUUUAAAAUAUUAAUUCAUAUAUUAAAUGCACAUUAAAAAAUCAUGGAAUAAAUAUAUUUACUAAUAUAUAGUUCUUUUGCCAUGUUCUGUCACAGAAGCAUCGAACUUUCCCUAGAAAUUUUUGCAUGGUAUUCUACUUAUGAUUUUGAAAACUCUAGGCACCUGAGGCCACUAAUUGCAUGGUUGGAUGAGGAGCUGCAUGAGAUUAUGUAUCGUGUUGUUCCUUAACUACAAAUAUCAGUUUUAAGUAGCAUCUCCAUGUGACAUUUUCCUGAUGCAAUUUCGCUGUCCACCAACAAAUUUCACCAUGCAGCAAGAUGAAUUGUAAUUUCUUUAUUGUUAUCAACAGCUUUAAUUAAUCUUGAUAUAUAUAUAUAACUUAGUAGAAGUAUAUUAAUCUAGAUUGUAGUUGCACUAAGAUAAUAGGCAAUAUUAUAACAGUGCCACAAUGCUCAUCGCCAAAUAGAAAGGUAGAAAAACUACAAUGAGUAACUCACAACAUUCUCAAACAGGACAUAGCGGCGACUGAUACAUAGAACACUAUUGGCACUCAGGAAAUGAUAAGAUCAGUGCCCAGCAGGCAGCACGUCUUAUUUUACAUACUACUUAAAACUAACCAAAGUCAUUCAGUUGGGAUGGGUGGGAGAUGGUGGUUUGUGCGGUGGCUUUUGGGUAGUUGGUGGCUUCUUUCCUGGAACUGAUGGUUUUUUUGUUGGAGUUGAAGGAGGCUUAAUCGUCUGAGGUGGCUUGUAUGAGUCUUCAGCACUCUCUGCGGGAGGGUGCCCAGGGUUGUGACCAUAAUGGGGUGGCUUCUCUCCCUUAGUUGGUUUGCCAAGUGGGCUGGCUGGCUUGUGCUCCGGGAGCGGCUUCUCUCCCUUAGGUGGUUUGCCAAAUGGGCUUGCUGGCUUGUGCUCUGGGAGCGGCUUCUCUCCCUCAAGAAGUUUACGGGUUUUGUCAGAUGGCUUGUGUUCUGGUGGUGGCUUCUCUCCU